rnacentral:lncRNA from 1 species
CGAGGGCCCCCAGAAGCUUGACUCUGGGGGCUGGGGCUCGCGGCCCACGGGGAGAGGGUGUUGUCGUGAACUUUCAUGAGGUUCUCUUUGUCGAUGACACCCGGGCCACGGUGGGGGCACUAACCCCCCGGGGGGAGGGGUCCUGGGAAUGAAUCGUAGCCCAGCGCUUGGCCUUGAACAGGAUAUUAGUGGAAAUAUUGCUGUGGUUGUCAGGAAACGCGAGUGCAGCCGCACAGCUACUGCCUGUUAUGCAGCGAGGAUAUCCGGUGGCUGCGAGGUCUGUAAUUUAGAAUAAAAAGCUCUCCCAACACCCGAGAGGCUGACCUCAGCGCCGCGUGGCGGUAAUGCGCUCAGCGCCCUCUGUGGAGACGGUCCAAAUCCUGACAGGUGGGAGAGCUUAGGUUAGACCUUCAAGAGCCCUGCAGAUGGACCUGCAGAAUCAGACUGCAAAAGUGAGCCAGCCACUUGCUAAACGUAGUUGAAGUGGAGGGCACAGAUCGCCUGCCAGUUAACAAUAUUAAUAAGUAGUGUGAUUUGCUGUGUGCAGCAAACGUAGCUCGUAUGAAACUCAGAGACUGUGAGCUUCAGGAAGUGAUGGUGUACACUUUUCCAGGGCAGACUGCUACUUCCGUGUUGGGUUCUUUACAAAGUGGGUAACUGACCGUUAUUCACGAAGCCAGAAGCGUGUAUCUGCAGUGCCACGAGACUGGAGAAGGAUCCAGGACCACACAGCUGUCUUCUUAGAUAAAUCUGACCCACUUGGCCUUCUCUGGAGGGAUGUUUCGUGCUGACUCACGAGCAACAGGAAGGGUACAGAUGAAAAGCGAGUCUAUACACAAAUUGUAUCUUGACACAUCCUAUAUAAAUUUGACUCAAAUGGUAAACCCAACAACCCUAAUCUAGAGAAGACUAGCCAUGCUAAGUCCCAGGAAGUACUGUGGAGAUGAGGUGAGAUAAGGCAUGCUAAACAUCUGCCAUUAGGUACUCAAGAAAUGCUAGAAAUUGUACUAGUGCUGGGUUCACAGAUGUGCAUCACCCGAGUCCAGCUUCUUCUGUGGAUUCUAGACCUGAAACUCAAGUCAUCAGGGUGGCAUGGAUGCCAUGCGACCAUCAGCUCUGCUCUUUGACGCAUGCAAUCUCUUCAUCACACUCUGCCUCAUGACAAACAAGAGCUCAGGGCCAAUGGGUCUAAACCUCCAAAAUCCUCCACCAAAAUAACUAUGUCUUCCUUUAA